rnacentral:rRNA from 1 species
AUUGAACGCUGGCGGCAGGCCUAACACAUGCAAGUCGAACGAGUGGCGGACGGGUGAGUAAUGUCUGGGCAACUUCCCGAUGGAGGGGGAUAACUACUGGAAACGGUAGCUAAUACCGCAUACCAUCGGAUGUGCCCAGCUGGGAUUAGCUAGGAGGGGGGGUAACGGCUCAACUAGGCGACGAUCCCUAGCUGGUCUGAGAGGAUGACCAGCAACACUGGAAGGAAGGAACGGACAAGACUACUAUGGGAGGCAGCAGGGAGGAAUAUUGCACAGUGGGAGCGAGCCUGAUGCAGGCGUGCCGAGUGUAUGAAGAAGGCCGUAGGGUUGAAAAGUACUUGCAGCGAGGAGGGAUUACUAGAAGAAGAAGCACCGGCUAACUCCGUGCCAGCCGCGGUAAUUC